rnacentral:ncRNA from 2 species
GGUCCGCUCACGCCAGAGACGGCGCAAAGGGGAGGAAACCGGUGCGAACCCGGUGCGGUCCCGCCACUGUGACCACGGUUCACCGACCGUGGGAGCCAGGAACUCCUGCC